rnacentral:lncRNA from 10 species
GAAACCAGUCACUCGUCCAGCAUAUAUUUAUUGAGUGUUUAUUAUGUGCCGGAUGCUGGAGUGACAAAAAAAUGAACAAGAUGUAGAUCCGGCCUUCAAGUGUAGCUGGUGAUUUUCCACAAAACCCUCUAUUAUUGUAUCUUAACAUCCAGGAGUCAGCCAGGAGUUACACUGAUCAUAAAUCGAUAACCUCAUUUCAAAGCUCAAACACAGAGAUGGCAAAUAAAGCCCUGGGCAGCACUGACUGAAGCAACAGAUGACUCAUUAAUAGCAGGAGGCAAUGAAUAACUUUGCCACUGAGAGUGAAAGAAAAUUCCCCCUUUGCACAAUGCCUUUCACUUAAAUAGCAUUUGGAUUUCUUAAAAUCCACAAAGUUUAUAUUAGAGCGUCAUCCAUUAAUGCUUUGGCUAGGAGGGGGUCUAUCGCCCUGGUUGGAGUGCAGCAGUGUAAUCAUAGCUCACUGCUGCCAUGAACUUCUGGGCUCAAGCGAUCCUCCCACCUCAGCCUCCCUGUGUGCUGGGAUUAAAAGUGUGAGCCACCGUGCCUCAUCGUAAGGGUCUUAAAAGAAACCCUAUUUCAUACUUUCUUGAUGCACUUGAUAUGGAUUAUAUAAAUCUAUGGACAAAAAUGACAUCAGUACAAUGGAAUAUUGGAGUUUUCUACCAUAAUCUCUGCAUAGUGCACUGAUUUUGACAAUCACCUAUGGAUGAAAAUACAUUUGCCAGAGUCUAGGAGUUAAAUGGAAAAGUUAACAGCACACCGUUGGAGAAAAAUAUCUGGGAGUAGAUGCAUUCAAGGGAGUAAGAAGAACAAUUACCUGCAUCACCUCACCCCCAGGGUCCACUUCUUAGUGCCAAGAUAGACUCCCUUCAGCAGGCAAUUUCUCCCAUGGGGAAAAGGAGAGUAUAAUGAGUGAGUAUCCAGCUUUUCCAGCUGUGUGAGGCACAUCCCAAGAAGCCCAUCUUUCUUUCACUCAACUCAGAAUAUUGAGGGUAUUAGCAUGGCUAAGUGGCUGGGACAGGGCAGUAGCAGGAAAGAAAGGAGAGGACUCACAGCAACCAGGACUUGAAACUCAGUACAGGGUACAUAUCCUUUGAAGCAUUUCACAGAGCCCAUCAGGAGGCCCACCCAUGAACCACUUGGGACACCAUAUCUGUAGCAUCUCCCUGCAACUGGCCCAUAGGAGCCCCCGAUGUUUUGUGCAUAUUCCCCUUCCCUUUCUCCUAUAGUCAGUUGCCUGCACAUGCACUCCAGAUGGUGAGUGUGAGCAUUUACCUACAGCUUUUGAGUACAUGCAGUCAGCAGGCUCAACUUUGAAGGAUUGGGAGGAAUACAAAAUUGAGCAUUUCAGGGCACUGUCCUAGAGGAAACAAACAGAAAGCUUUCAGGACCCAGUUUGGUUUUGUGGAUUUAAGAGAAGACACACAAUCAUCAGAAUUUCUUCUCCACCCAUCCAAGAAGUGUGGAUUGGGUGAAUCCAUAGAAAAGAUCUGAGAGAGCCUCAGAUUCCCUAUAGGCUCACUGUUGAAGAUAUUUCUCUCAAAUCCAGUCAGUAAAGACUAGAGAAAGUGACUCUUUCUUCAAAUGUGAAGACAGCAGUGCAAGACUUUGAGGAACAUGAAAAAUCAAGGACACCUAGUACCACCAAAGGAACAUAAUUUUCUGGUACCCAACCACAAAGAAAUGGAGAUACACAAAUUGUCUGACAAAGAAUUCACAACAAUUGUUUUAAGGAAGUCAGUAAGCUACAAGAGAACACAGAGAACUUAAUGAUAUUAAGAAAGCGACACAUGAACAAAAUAAGAUGUUCAACAAAAAGAUAGAAAUUAUUAAAAACAACCAUGAUUUUCGAGCUGAGAAUACAAUGAAUGAAAUGGAAAACACAAUAGAGUUUCAAUAGCAGACUUGAUCAAGCAGAAGAAAGGGUCUGUCAACUCAAAUACUAGUCAUUUGAAAUUAUUCAGUAAAAGAAAUAAAAAGGAAUGAAAAAUGCUUAUGCGAUUGAUGCAACACCAUGAAGAGUAGUCAUAUAUGCACUAUGGGAGUCUCAGAAAAAGAAAGAGAUAAAGGGGAAGAAAACUAACUUAAAGAACUAGAUCAGUCUCUCCUUAUCUGUAGUUUUGCUUUCCUUGGUUUCAGGUACAGUACAAUGAUAUGUUUUAAGAGACAGACAAUGAAAGAGAACAUGCAAAUAUUGACAUAAUUUUUAUUACAGUAUAUUGUCAUAGUUUUUCUAUUUUGUUAUUAGUUGUUAUUCUCUUACUGUGCCUAAUUUAUACAUUAAACUUUAUCAUAGGAAUAGUGGUGGUGGCCUGUCUGGAGUGGCCACUGCCAGGAUGCCAGCUGCAGCAGGGGAGGUGUAGCUGGGGCUGUGCACUCCGCAGAGCUGGGGGGGGCCAGGAACAGGUGAUCCUAGUGGGAGCCCUAUAUGCUACUGAGUUAGUGGGGUGGGAGCCUGUGCUCCCAGGCAUAGCUGCAGCUGCCCAGCCAUGGCUCCAGCCCUAGGCAUACCUGUGCUCUCAGGGGCCCUGGAAGUCCCCUGCCCUUACAGGCUUGGAAGUGCCUGCUCCCAUUCCCUGGCCUCUUUCCACUGCUGGCACCUGCUCUGUGGCAGAGCAAAGUUGUGGAUGUGUUGUGAUAGCUGAGCCUGGGAGCUGUUGUGACGUGGUCAGGUGUGUGUGUUCAGGGCAGUUCUGAUACACCAGACUCCCCACUGCCUUUGCCCCCUCUGGAAACUGCUUCUGAGGCUGAAACUUUGGAUAUUAAUGAGCAAGGAUGGUGGGGGAGGCCAGGACGGCUGAGGGCAGCUAGGUGUGGGCCUGUGGACACCCCUUAGUGCGGACAGUCUGGGUGCUGUGGAUGGCAUGUUGAUGGCAGCGAGAGGCAGACAUGUUCCUAGGUGGGAACGGGUGGGUCCCUGGUGAAACCUCACCUUCAAGCCAGGGACAGCUUGAAGCAUGGGGGCCUGGCUGCCAGUUCCGGUUGCAGUCUGUGACCUGGAGUGAAAACUUCAUUGAUGUCUUUCAGCCAAUUGGAUGGUGCUUUUUCCAGACCCACAAAUGGCUGCCCAUGGACCAAGCAGUAUGUACUUCCUCCAUUCUGAGCCCAUGAAAACCCCAGACUCAGUCAGACUCUGACACUCAUCAGGAUGACAAGCCUGCAAAUAGGAUCUACCCAUUUUGGGUAUGCACUCCACUGAGAGCUAUUCUGUCACUCAAUAAAGCUCCUUUCUGCCUUGCUCACCCUCCAGUUAUUCACAUAACCUCAUUCUUCCUGGAUGUGGGACAAGAACUCAGGACCUGCUGAAUGGUGGGAGGGAAAGAAGCUGUAACAUGUUCCUGGCCAGCUCACCAAGCUGCAGGUGGUGACAUACUCCUGGACUAUGGGAGUGAAGAGUAGUGACCCUUCUGGGGGCCCAGACCUUGAGAUUCUCCGAGCCAGAGCUGCAGUAACACUAUAGCUCUCCUGCCCUCUGCUGGUGCUGGGUGGCCCCCCAAUGCAACAGGACGCAGCAGCAGGCCUGGGCCAGCCCAGGAGCUGGGAGCCUGAGUGGGGUGGUGGAACUGAAAGGGCUAUAACACAAACCAACCAAAACAUGCCCCACUCACUUGCUGCACUGUGGGUGAGGAGAAGGAGAAAAGAGCUGCAGCCCUUCUAGGAAGCCAGACUUUGGGGCUCCCUGAACUAGGGCUGUGACAUGCUGUAACACCUUCUUUAGGAUUCUGCACUUCCUGGCCUCUCUGAGAUUUUGGAUGCCACCGUGUUCCCUUUGUCCAGAUGCUGGUGUCCGCAGCAGAAGCCACUUGUGAUAUAUCUGGUCCAGCUGCAGCUUCACAUGGAUGAGGUGCCUGUGCCGGUGCCUGUGCCAGUGCCUGGAGCUGCCCGCCCCACCACAGCAGCUAGCAUGCCUGGCUGUGUGCAGUGCCAGAUCCCACACUUGCUCACUCACACACACCUCACCGCUCCAUGCCUGGCUUGCCCUUGGAAGGAGUACGAUCCAGGCCGGUAGCAUGAGCCAAGUGCAGCCUGCCAGCCUGAGUGGACAGAACAAGCCCAGGGGGCAUGAACAAAACUCAAGCAGAAGCACUGCUGUCCACAGAGGUUUCUGGCUGGCAAAGCAACACCCUAAGGAUCCUAUGACAAUAGGUUUGCUUUCCAUAUGCUGGAUGAUGUGUGUGGAUUUUCAGUGUGUGUUUCAGAGUCUUAAAAGCUCAUGCUAGCUUGCUUAACAUACCUGCCAUAACUCAUGAUAUAGAACCCUAUGGAGAACUGUGUUGCAACAUGGAUGCAGUGCCUAUACUAAGGCACAUUGCCAAGCUGAAGACUGUCAGAGAGCAUCACUAACGGAGGGUUGUUUCUCGUACUGGACAUAGGUCACCUUUGCUAACCUCUUACAGAAAUUCUAAACUUUGUGAGAGGAAAUGCAGAAAUGUGAGAGAAGAACAAGGAGCUAUGUGAAGAAGAGAGAUGGAAAUGGAUUGAGACUGUUGAAAUAGGAGAAAAUAUCUUGGUUUUGACAUCAUUUCCAAAGAAUCAUAGUUAUCAAAUAAAAAAUUUCACAAUUAUCCAAAAUUAUAAUAAAAAUUCAGUGGCUGGCAAAAUGGCUGAAUAGGAUCAGCUCUGGUGUGCAGCUCCCAGUGAGAUCCACACAGAAGAUGAGUAAUUUCUGCAUUUCCAACUGAGGUACUUGGCUCAUCUCAUUGGGACUGGCUAGACAGUGAGUGAAACCCAUGGAGGGCAAGCUGAAGCAGGGUGGGACAUUGCCUUACCUGGGAAGUGCAAGGGGUCAGGGAACUCCCUCCCCUAGCCAAGGGAAGCCAUGAAGGACUCUGACAUGAAGACUGGUGCACUCCAGCCCAGAUACUACGCUUUUCCCAUGGUCUAUGCAACCCACAGACCAGGAGAUUCCCUCGGGUGCCUAUGCCACCAGGGCCCUGAGUUUCAUAAAACUGGGCAGCCAUCCCGAGCUAGCUGCAGGAAUUUCUUU